GGCUGGAUGCGGAGGCCCGGCGCGGCCUCGCUGCUGGAUGCGGCCCCGGCUGCUGUGAUGGUAAGCACGGCGCCGCCUCCUCCCUCCGGCCGCCGCUGCUGCAGCUCCGGGGCCGGCAUCGAGGGAGGCGACGGGGCGGGGAAAACGGGGCGGGCGCCGAGGCGGCGGGAGGGCCCAGGCCGGCCUGCGGAGGAAGAGCCGCCCUCGCCGUCCCUCCUCGCCGGGCCGCCCCGCCGCUCUCCCCGAGGGGAGGAAGAGCCAGGCAAAGCGGGGGGCGCCGCUGCCAGCCCCACAUUGGGUAAACGGCGGGCUGCAGGGGAUUGUGGCCGCCCUUUCCCGACAGUGCCGCCUAAUGCAGCUUCCCUGACAGGAAAAGGCAGUCAAUCAGGUCCUCUGAAGAGGCUAACUUCCCAGUGAACAUCAUUAAAGGUGGGUUUGCUACCAAUUCCCUGGCUACCGUGGCUACCAGGACAUCUCAGAGUCCGACCACCACGGCGGGGACUACCAGCACUGGCAAGAGUGGGACUUGCAUGCCCAGACCUUCCAAGUCCAGUUGAUCAGGCGCAUCCAGUAGUAGGCCUCGAGUGGUGGUAGGAGAAAUCACGGGAAAAAAUAACGGAAGCAGCAAGCGGAGGAUCAGGCCCUUGGAUUUAAGGAAACCAGCUAAGGGUUGGAUGCAAGUCUGCAAAGGCCCAUUUCAGUUGCAGCACUGAGAAAAAAGAUAUAACAGGAAGGAGACAGGUAGCCAUGGAAUGGCAUCUUAAACAAUAGCUUUGCACAUUUUUUAAAUCAUCUAUAGCGGAGCUUUCUACCAUGAAACACAGCGCCGGAAACCACAGUCAAGAAAUUGGUUCAUCAGCUAAACUAGACUUCUGUUGUCCAAGUUCGGAUUCCUUUGCCGUGCCGGAAGAAGCGCCAGAAUGGCCGUUGUUGCUGCCGCCACCGCCGCCCGCCCUCCGGGGAAGCCCGUGGCCUGGUACGGAGAGGCAACGACGACGGACAAGAGAGUCAACACCUCCCUCCUCCUCUUCUCAUUGGUUGGGAUGAUCCAUGGCUUCGUCGUAAGUGAUUAUCCUUUUGGGAUCUGAAAAGAAAAACCCAACAACCCUCAAUAACAACACUGGCCUUGAGACACAUCCUCACACAGGUGUACCAACUUCAUAAAGUGGGUUCAGGCAGGACCAAAGGGGUCUUCUGAACAUAAACACACCCACCCCACUCCUCUAUUAAGCGGACACCGCCGACCCUUUGGAGUUGAUGUAAUAUUCUUAAAUCAAUUUAUAUAAUCAACCUAUAGACCCCUUAAUACAGAAACGCCUAAUCCGGUGGUUCCCAAACUUUCCCUCCCACCGCAGACCAUUUGAAACCCGCUGAUGCGCCUUGGCAGACCAUUUCAACGAUUCCCCCCCCCCGCUACCUUUUGUAAAACACUGUGCUAGAUGCCAUGUGGUUUGGGUUGUGUGUCUUUUUAUUGUUUACUCCCUCCGUUGCGUUCCUUAUAGUAUUACAAGCAACAUCCCGUAGAAUUCAGAUUGCAGUAAAAUAAAAUGCAAGAAAAGCACCAAUGAAAA